GAUGACUUAGAUUACCCUGAACACGCCCGAUCUCUUCUGAUCUCGGAAGCUAAGCAGCAUGGGGCCUGGUUAGUACUUGGAUGGGAGACUUGGGAAAUUCUGAAUACAGACACUC
rnacentral:rRNA from 1 species